UCCUCAGUUUCUUCCACCCACCCAGUGCCUAAAUAAGCUCUCUUGGGAAGAAGUCAUCAGCAGCUGCUGUGCUCAAUCCUCUCUAUUUGUUCUCCUCCACGUGCUUCUGCUCUCUGUCUGAUGGACUACCUCUUUUCAUUUUGUUUUCUUUUUAUACUGUUAUCCUCUAAUAAUCAAAACUCAAGCACAGCGACACAAUUUUAACAAAACACUGCACCGGUUUUGGUUUUGUGCUUGAGUUCUUGCCCUAUUUUCAUAUAUGCACAGCAGUGUUUAUAUUGUUGCGUUAUUGCACCAAAUACAGAUGCAUUAAAGCCAUACUCAGUAAUAUUUAUGAAUUGCAUACAUAUAUUUUUGUAUUAUUUUGCUCUUGUAUAGAAAUUAAAUGUAUGCAUUCAAAUUAAUUAUCGACAAGAAGCUGCGCACAUCCAAGUCGUGCGUGUUGCUGUUUUGAAAACGGUUUUAUAUCUCAGCCAGGAGACAUUGGAAGUGUGCACACGGAGAAUCCCUCAUGUCUCCACUCAAUUUCUGCUUUGCAUAGAGUUGUAGCCAUGGCCCCGCCUCUUAAACACCUACGUCAUCAUUUUGACCUGUAACCUCCCCUUUACAGUAGGUAGACAGUCGAUAUCUACCUCCCUCUCUUCUUCCUCCCCUCUCUCCGUUGCUGAUGCCCAGUUUCAGUGGUGGGGUGGUUGGGGGAGGGGUAGGGGGCCCAGCUUCUGCUCCUCCCCGUCCGUUUCGCCCCAGCCGAUAUGUGCCGGUGUCUGCAGCCAUAACUUUCCUGGUUGGGUCCACGACCCUCUUCUUUUGCUUCACGUGCCCAUGGUUAUCGGAGUACAUCUCCGGUGUAAUACCCAUCUACAUCGCUGUAAUCUUCCUUUUCACACUUGCCAACUUUUGCAUGGCUACAUUCAUGGAUCCUGGAGUCUUCCCCAGAGCUGAGGAAGACGAGGACAAAGAGGACGAUUUCCGUGCUCCUCUCUAUAAGACGGUUGAGAUCCGAAGCAUCCAGGUGCGAAUGAAGUGGUGCUCGACCUGCCGCUUCUACCGCCCGCCCCGCUGCUCACACUGCUCUGUCUGUGACAACUGUGUGGAGGAUUUUGACCACCAUUGUCCCUGGGUGAACAACUGUAUUGGCCGAAGGAAUUAUCGCUAUUUCUUCCUGUUUUUGCUGUCUUUAACCACCCACAUCAUGGACGUGUUUGGCUUCGGCUUGGUUUACGUCCUGCAUCACCGCCAGCAGCUCGACACGCCGCACGCUGCUGUUACUAUGGCUGUGAUGUGUGUUGCUGGCCUGUUUUUUGUCCCAGUUGCUGGCCUGACUGGGUUCCACGUAGUGUUGGUGGCCCGCGGUAGGACCACUAAUGAACAGGUGACGGGGAAGUUCAGAGGAGGUGUUAACCCUUUCACCAAGGGUUGCUGGAGGAAUAUUUCACAUGUCCUCUGCAGCCCGCUGGCGCCAAGGUACAUGGGCCGGUGGUGGAACCGUCAGACAGUGGAAGUACAACCACCGUUUCUUAGACCGUCUCUUACUGAGGCUCAGUUAGAAGCUAAGGUUCUGGACAACGGGAUCCAGAAUGACCGACACAGCAGCAGGUCUAAGAGCAGUCUGGAUCAGAUGGAGAGCCAGUCAGCUGACAUAGAGCCUCCACCUCCUCCGAAGCCGGAUUUUCGUUACCCUGGUCUGCCCCGUGCCGACACAGAAGCGAGCAGCUUGUUGUCAGAGGCUCCACCUACGCCGUCGAUGUACAAGUACCGACCAGCCUACAGCAGCCCAGGGAGGAAUCACACUGGUGUCACACAUCCAAACAAGAUGACCCGCGGGGAGAGUCUUGACUCCCCGUCGCCCUCCAUCCUUCAGUCCAGUCGCCAGCCUAGCUACCGCUCGGAGCCCAGCAGCCUGGACGGGGCCACAGUGGUGGGAAGAGGUGUAGGGGUGCGCAGAGGGGGAGGGGACAGGGGUGAGGGCCCUGGGGGCCCCGGAGGGAUGGCUGGUGUGGUGUCAGGGGGCGUGUCGGGUUACUCCCUGGCUGGGCGCUCCUACACCUCCUACCCAUCUUCGCUGGUUCUGUCCACGGGCGGCUCGCGCUCGUCCAGCCUGCGCUCGGCUCAGACUGUUCAUAACCCGCUGGCCACGCUCCAAUCGGAGGGCACCACAGACACCAGCUACAAAAGCCUAGCCAAUCAGACGCCUCGGAAUGGCAGCCUGUCCUACGACAGCCUCCUGACGCCAUCCGAGAGCCCGGAGUUUGAGUCCGCCGCCCAUGAGCUGUCGCCACAGAAGCCUCACGUUCCCUUCCUGUCGACGGCGGGAGGCGGGCGGCCCGGGGUGGCGCCGCCCGGCGGCCCGCUGCAGGGCUACACGUCGCCCUUCCUCUCAGCUCAGAUCGCUCAGCAGAGGGAGGGGCAGCUGUUCCAGAGCUCUACCACUUUCUCCUCCCCCCAUAGGGCCUACCUGCGUGCUGUCAGCCCACCCCCGUCCUCCUCCCCCGGGGCUCCUGAAGCCCGCCACCUGCUCCAUCACAACCAGGACCUGACUUCCCGAAUCCCCCGCAACCCUUCCUCCUCGUCCUCUUCCCCCGGGGCUCGCUCACUAGACCCCCCUGUAUCUCCACCGCCUCGCGGCCUCUCCCUCACCAAGUCCCCGGUUCACAUAGGGGAGACGGGGUCUCAGCACAAGCCCCGGCCUGCGGGGGCGGGCGCUGUGCUGGGGGGGGGAGGAGUUGGAGGAGGGCAACAGGCUCCACAGUGAGUAGUGAUCCGUCAUCAGAGUCGUCAGCCUGCCACUCUUCUCCUUUCUCUACUGUUUUUCUUUCCUGGUUUGUGUCAGCCUGUCUCUUCCUUCCUGAUCUGUAUCCACCUCUCGCCCAGCCUUGGCCAAUCACACCACAUCCAAACCGGUGGGUGGGGUGAAGAAGGUAACCGGCGUUGGAGGGACCACG